GCUGGAGUAGCUCAGUCGGUAGAGCGCAUCACUCGUAAUGAUGAGGUCGGGGGUUCGAUUCCCCCCUCCAGCUCCA
rnacentral:tRNA from 1 species